rnacentral:rRNA from 1 species
ACGGGGCGCAGCAGGCCCGAAAACUUUACAAUGCGGGAAACCGUGAUAAGGGAACUCCGAGUGCCCGUAAAAUCGGGCUGUCCAUCUGUUUAAAUAACAGGUGAAGAAAGGGCCGGGCAAGACCGGUGCCAGCCGCCGCGGUAAUACCGGCGGCUCGAGUGGUGGCCACUAUUACUGGGCUUAAAGCGUUCGUAGCUGGUUUGUUAAGUCUCUGGGGAAAUCUGCCGGCUCAACCGGCAGGCGUUCCAGGGAUACUGGCAGACUAGGGACCGGGAGAGGUGAGGGGUACUCCAGGGGUAGGAGUGAAAUCCUGUAAUCCUUGGGGGACCACCUGUGGCGAAGGCGCCUCACCAGAACGGCUCCGACAGUGAGGGACGAAAGCUGGGGGAGCAAACCGGAUUAGAUACCCGGGUAGUCCCAGCCGUAAACGAUGCGCGUUAGGUGUAUCGGUGACCACGAGUCACCGAGGUGCCGAAGAGAAAUCGUGAAACGUGCCGCCUGGGAAGUACGGUCGCAAGGCUGAAACUUAAAGGAAUUGGCGGGGGAGCAC